CCUAAUCCUCCUUGGGUUUGUCGUAAUCCAGCUCUGUUCUGGGGAGAGAUGCUGGGUGUCUGGCCUCAGUGCAAAUGGGCAGAGGAGACCAGGUACCUGCUCUCUGGGGCUGGGACUCUGGGUCCUGGAGACAAGGAGAGCGGCCCUGAGUAUGCCAGCCCUGCGGCCCCAGGAGGCUGAACCACGGCAGGGAGAGAGGCGUGACUUCCCUCCGCUGGAUGUUACCCCCACCCCAGGGGGCUCAGAGGACUCAGGGGAGGUGGCCUGCCCUUGUGCUCUCCCAGAGGAUGGGGAGGAAACAGCUUUGAAGGUUGGACGGUUGCCCAGCAAGCUCCAGAUUCAAGGCCUGUCUCCCCGCAGCCCUUUCCACCUCCAGACUUCACACACAAACUGCUCCCAUCUAUUGUCCAGAAGAGAAAAGACUCAAGUAGCAUGUUCUGCCUCCAUCCCACUGAAGGGUCAUGAGUGGAGUGCUGGCCGGGUGUACCUCAACCUGAACAGGGGACGGGGAUUUCCCACUGUAUUUUUUUUUUUUUUUGAUGUGGGCUAUAAUUAAAGUCUUUAU
rnacentral:lncRNA from 1 species